GAGACCCAAAUUAAAAAUCAAAAGUUCAACCUUGUCACAAUAUUUCUCUCUGAAAUCCCAAGAAGAAGAAGUGUAAAACUGAAUCUUGGGAUUGAAGAAAUCAAAGGUUUUUUUCAUAAUGUUCUUUGAAGAUUCAUCAAGGUAUGAUUGUUUUCAUCUAUGGGUGGAUUUCACCCAUGGAGCCCCUUCAAAACUAGAUUUCAAAUCAUACAAUUUCCCUAAAAGUUAGGGUUUUAUUCUAAUGACAUGGGUUCUCUUCAAAAACAAUUUCAAUGGUUGAAUUAUGUUGUGUUAUGAUUGAAUUGAUGAAUAGAGGUUUAUUUAUGGUGAAAUUCCCCCAAGAACCCAUCGAUUCCAUAUAUUGCUAAAUUGUGAUCAUAAUGUGGAUUCAUUGAUUUUAGAAGCAUGUAAAUGGGUUUUGUUUAGAUGAAUUGAAUUGAUUAGAUUAUGUUAUUAUCCAUAUCUAAUGUAGAAAUUCUAGAUGUUGGGCUUAAUGUAAUUCAUGAUUCUUGAAGGGUAAAUUAUGAGAAUUAUGCAGGUGUUUCAAGAAUUAUUUUGAGAAUGAAGAUUCAAAGAUGAUGGUGUAAUUGUGGUAUUGAUUGAAAGGAUAACUCAACUCACCAAAAAGGAAAGGAUCAUAUAAGAAAGAUUGUCAUGUAAGAAUCAACAUUCAAGGAGCCAAAGCCUAAAUUGCACAAAUUAGGGAAGACUUGCAAAUCAGAGGAAGAUAUCAAACAAAAUGUCAAAUAAUUUAGAAAAUUUUAAUGAUCUCAAUGAAAGCCUCAAUAAGCAUAGUCAACAAACAAAGUGAUCCCCAACAACUACGUAUAUUCUGAGAAAGCUACAAGAAGAAAUCACGCAAGAAAGGAAACAAUAUUCAAUUCACCACAUAUAAUUCAAGAAAGCUGAAAGAAGGAAUCACACAAGAAUGGAGAAAUCCUCAACGACUACAUAGAAUAAAAGAUCACAACGGCGAUCUGCAAACAAUUAAGGCUACUGAAUCAUGGAUGAGCCUUAAUUUUUAUUCUUGAAAAUAAGGAUACCUUGCCUUAUUUCCAAGGAUCAAAUCUCUUGGUUGCAAUCUCUUCUGUGAAACGAUUCAAGUCUCGACUCUAAAAAAGGACAUCAUACUUCAACAAGAAAAAAUGUACAACAAGUCUUAUUCAUCUCACUACUCCCUACUCUACUUUUAAUAAACAUUGUAUUCUUACUAUGUAAACAAAAAAUAGACAAGAGAGACAAUAUUAUUGGCAAGGCUUUGUAUCAAAGAGAGACAAAAAAACUCAGUGGCGUUUUUGGAACUAUACUUAAAUCUUGUACUCAUAUCAAGAAGUUUCUAAAGCAUGAAGAGAACACCAUUGCAAUUCAAGGGAACUGGAGGUAAGAUCCACUUUUGAUCUGAACCUGUA